rnacentral:misc_RNA from 1 species
UUAAGUUCAGCGGGUAUCCCUACCUGAUCCGAGGUCAACCAUAAAAAAUUAGGGGUUGUUGGCAAGUCACCACAAGACACUAUAGCGAGGAGUAUUACUACGCUUAGAGCCAGAUGGCACCGCCACUGAUUUUAAGGCACGCCCUUGCGGGUGAUGCCCAAUACCAAGCAGAGCUUGAGGGUUGUAAUGACGCUCGAACA